ACUAGAAAGAACCAAACAGCAAUAUCUGUGCAAUCCCCACUCAAAACUUUAGGUUUUUUAACAAUCGUGCAAUAUUAGGACCAAAGAUACUUUAAUCCACUAGAAAAUCUAUUAGUUUUCUUCCCUUGAAGGAUACUUAUUUAAGAAAAGGAUAUUCAAACAUUUUUUCGUAUUUUUUGGAGUGAUUGAUUUAAAAGUGCGGUCUCGUCUGACUCUAAACUACUACGCGGAAAAUAGUAAGAAAAAUAACACAAUUUUUCGAACGUUGGACAAAGGAGCAUAUAAGGGAGACAGAAAUCGCGGUUACAUAGACAGAGAGAGAGAGAUAUAGAGUGAGAGAGAGUGCUAGACUUGGGAAGGAACGAGAGCCAACGAGUCGACGCGAGACUUCGAGAAAGUUUUUUGUGUGCAAUCAAUAUAUAUUAUAGUCAAUCCUCCUCCGCCCCAAAAACUAUCAUCAACUUUCAAGCAGCUGUAUGACAGUAUUUCUUCCCAGCCGGCACCUCGCUCUCACUAUUUCCGUCUCGGCCCGAAGGCACGUUGCAUCUUCACCUUUAGCAUGCUGCCUUUUGAGGGGUUCAAUGAACGCGGAACCUGGCUUUUAAACAGCUGCUGGUAGCAGUUUUGUAACCGCAGCAAUGCCUCUGGUGAUCCAAAAAAGGGCAAACACUGAAGAGUGGGAAAGUGGAAAACACAGACAAAUAAAUGGAAAACUAGAGAACCCAAAGCCACAGGCAUAGAUGCAGUCAGGGUUCAAUGACCUCAAAGACUGGGCAGGACAUGGCCGUGGACUGCGACUGGGAUUGGCACUGGAACCGGGACCGGGACAGGACUUGCCUGCUCGUUUGUUUGUUUUUCACGUCAGGUUUUUACCCUAUUUUCAGUGCAGACAAAGUGCCACACACAAACACGCGCGCAGGCAGACAUCCAGGAUCUAGCAGGAACUAGGAAGCCCGUCCUCUUCGGUCUCUCUCUCUCUUUUUCAACCCCGAAAAACCAUUCCAGUUGGAAAGAGUAGGAGGUAAACUAGUCCUAGACGACUAUGACAACACACUCGAUGCAUGAGUGGGAAAUACAUUCAUACAUACAUAUGAAUAUAGGUUUUGUUGAACAAAAAGAUAUGCAAUUUUAAACGAGCAUGACUUAAUUAUAAAAUUUUAGCUAAAAUUUGGUUCAAAUAAUAUUUAAAGACACAGUUUCUCUUUCUAAUCAAAUCACCUGAAACUACCAAUGACAAUUUCCCAUCUCCUACCAUAAAUUCAAUAUCUUCAAGCUGUAUCACAUUAAUUCUUGCCAUUUACUUCUCCGAACUUCUCACAGAGCGAGCAUACAAUUUUUUGCAUGCGGACUUGACAUUUUUAGUUAUCAUAUCAUGGGCGCUUUAUCUCUAAGUGUCUACCUAUAUGGGAAUAUACACACAUACUUCCUACACGUCGAAAAAGCGAUUUAAUUAAAUUCCUAACCAUUAGGCGAGCAUUUUGUGCUGCCAAAAAAAAAAGCGAUGCAAACCAACUCCCAAACUUCCGAUCGCCUAUCCCAUUUUUGUUUGAUAAACAGACUUUAGCUUUGACUUACCCUUGUCGUCCAUUACGCAAGAAGAGGGUGGGUGGGGGACUGUGAUACUCUACUCGUAGGUAAUGCUGCUCAUGGUGGUAGUGGUGGUGGUGACAGCAGUCACAGUCACUGCCAGUUUCAAUGAGUGUCAUUUACAAAGGCACUCUCCGUGUUAGAAGAGGGGAGGCGAAUUCAUGUGUGAAAUGCUCUUAUCAGGCAGUUUUUUGCUCCGAUCAUCGGAUCUUCUUUUUCUUCUUUGCCACUGAUUUGAGUCUAUGGAGUAAAAAUGGUAGAGCUAUUUUAAAGCAAAUACAUAUGUACAUAUACAUAUGUAUAUAGCCUUUAUCUUAAAGCCAUUAUUUCGUACUAUUGAUUCCCUAGUACAAUCAUGGAUUUACUUUUCUUUCUGUUCCCGCCAUAGAUUCAAUGCUUUGAAAGGCAUACAAAAAUAUAUUUAACUCCUAAUCAUCGUAAUGGUGCUCUAUACAUUUCAUUAACUCUCCGCUGAAGAUGGAGGAAAUAUAAGAUGGAAAUCAUAGAAUAAAUAUAUGUAUAUUGUGGUAUCCUAAAAUAUUAUUAUUAAUACUAUUCUAUAGCCUACCUAACUACACAAAUACCUCGCAUUUUCCA